GACGAACGCUGGCGGCGUGCUUUACACAUGCAAGUCGAACGGUGAAGGUGGAGCUUGCUCCGCCGGAUCAGUGGCGAACGGGUGAGUAACACGUGGGCAACCUGCCCCUAACUUUGGGAUAACUACUCGAAAGAGUAGCUAACACCGGAUAUGAAGUCUGUAGGCAUCUAUGGAUUUGGAAAGUUUUUCGGUUAGGGAUGGGCCCGCGGCCUAUCAGCUUGUUGGUGGGGUAGUGGCUCACCAAGGCGACGACGGGUAGCCGGCCUGAGAGGGCGACCGGCCACACUGGGACUGAGACACGGCCCAGACUCCUACGGGAGGCAGCAGUGGGGAAUAUUGCGCAAUGGGCGAAAGCCUGACGCAGCAACGCCGCGUGCGGGAUGAAGGCCUUCGGGUUGUAAACCGCUUUCAGCAGGGAAGAAGCGAAAGUGACGGUACCUGCAGAAGAAGCACCGGCUAACUACGUGCCAGCAGCCGCCGUAA
rnacentral:rRNA from 1 species